AGCGAACGCUGGCGGCAGGCCUAACACAUGCAAGUCGAACGAAGUCUUCGGACUUAGUGGCGGACGGGUGAGUAACACGUGGGAACGUACCUUUUGGUUCGGAACAACUCAGGGAAACUUGAGCUAAUACCGGAUGAGCCCUUAGGGGGAAAGAUUUAUCGCCGAAAGAGCGGCCCGCGUUAGAUUAGCUAGUUGGUGAGGUAAAGGCUCACCAAGGCUACGAUCUAUAGCUGGUCUGAGAGGAUGAUCAGCCACACUGGGACUGAGACACGGCCCAGACUCCAACGGGAGGCAGCAGUGGGGAAUCUUGCGCAAUGGGCGAAAGCCUGACGCAGCCAUGCCGCGUGAAUGAUGAAGGUCUUAGGAUUGUAAAAUUCUUUUACCAGGGACGAUAGUGACGGUACCUGGAGAAAAAGCCCCGGCUAACUUCGUGCCAGCCGCCGCAGUAACAC
rnacentral:rRNA from 1 species